ACUUCGGACAUUCCUGGAAAAUUUUUUAUAUCCAUACUUAAUGCAGAAGAAAGUUCUACGACAAAAACCUAUGAUAUGCCAAUAAAUAAAACGCAGUCAUUAAAAAAUCCAUUAUCCAUGGUUUCUAACAUGUGUCAACGCUCGGUUUCCACAUAAUUGUAAACACAGAAACUUUUUCAGCCAUUAUUAAAGUUAAAGAAUUCAAAAAGGCGUAAACAGAAAACUGCAGCCAAAAAAUAUUUCCCACACAGACAAGCCUCAAAGCCUGUAGGCCCUUCACAGACUGGGAUUGCUUUUCAUGAUCAGGAGUUGAAAAACAAGCCCAAAAGAUUGCCGGAGGUCAUCAAAAAUGAAGGAGGAAAUCUAAGUAUUAACAAACAUUUUUUUUUAAUAUUUAAUGAAAUCAAGAACAAUUUCUAUAUUUUGCACUUUAUAUUGUCCAAUGUAAGAAGCCCUUACUUCUUACAUUGGACAAUAUAUUUAUUAUUUAAUUCCUGUGUACAGUUAAAGACAUUUUUUAUUACUUUUAUUAUUUAUUUUAAAUUCGCUCAAAAUGGAGGGUUCAUAUUUAUAUUUGAAUGGAAGGCCGGCACCUCGUUUACUAAUUACAGCAUUAUAAUGUGCGAAAAUAGCGCUGAUGUUCGUAUACGUACACACACCGAUUGACACUGACAAACAGAAACGAAGAUCGUAAAACGAGCCCUUAUACUUAAGCUGGAUAAUUCAAGUCUGUGUAUGCGCACAACCGAGUUUAAUACACAUGUUCGUAUACGAUGACGCAUCAUUAUGCAACAUGUUCUCCGAAAUUCGAACAAGAAUUCGAAUACGCAUACGCUGGGAUGCGUAAACACAGUCAUCUCCACAUAAAUAGCAAUCAACAUUACCCUGCAGUACGGCUGGUAUGAAUUGGUGAAUUGCACUAGUGAAUUCUUAUGUUACAAGUAACUAGAGAAUUCACGACAACGAGGUAAUGCAGAGAAGCAAUAGUACAUGAGAGAGAGGAGAGCAUGAUCUAGAGAAGGUUGUGCUCAAUAUGUACUCUCAGUAGAAUAUUAGCGACAAAUAAGGGUGGAAAUGCAAUUUUGAGAGAUCGAAGCAAAAAUAACGCAGAAUAAUAACGGCAGAGCAUGUCGUACAGUAAGUGCAAGUUGCAAAUAAUUAUUGGAUCAUUAUAGUAUUUACGUACAAGUUGGUCAUUGAAAGCAUAAUUUACUGUAGUAGAAAGAAAGGCAUCAGCGUUUUCUUUGUAAAUCUGAUAUUUCAUUUUUCGCUUAAUAGUUGUUCUCUGAUUGUACAAUUGAUCUCGCGUCGCGGGUUCUACUACGUUUAUUGUUUAUUAAAAGGUGAAUAAUUAAAUGAAAUAAUAGUGAAUAAAAACAAAAACAACAUAAAUAUUUUAUAUGUAUGCAAAAAAAUGGAUUGCCCUGCAUAAUGGAAAGAGAUCAACACCAAAUUUUAAUGGAACUCUUAGAAAUGUGACUUGGGGAUAUAAGUGCAGUGAUAAAUAUGCUUUUGAAUCCAGCCGAAGUGCACAAAAAUUUUGACUGAUAUUAACCGACUCUGUUGUUCAGAUGGUAAAUAUAAUUGUAAACAAAGA